UCCCACGGUGGUCUUAGGGGUCCUGUACACCAUGGCAUGGACUGUAAUCCUCAUGCUUUUCUAUUAUUGCGCAGGUUCUCUCUCCCAGCCUGUGGUGACUCAACCUCCCUCCCUCUCUGCAUCUUUGGGAUCAACAGCUAGACUCACAUGCACCCUGAGCAGUGGCUUAAGUGUUGGUAGUUAUAGGAUUUUCUGGUACCAGCAGAACACAGGAAGCUCCCCCAGGUAUCUCCUGAACUACUACUCUGACUCAAAUAAGCACCAGGGCUCUGGAGUCCCCAGCCGCUUCUCUGGAUCCAAAGACACCUCAGCAAAUGCAGGACUUCUGCUCAUCUCUGGGCUCCAACCUGAGGAUGAGGCUGACUAUUACUGCAGCACAUGGCAUAGCAGCAAUAAUUACACAGUGUUUCAGACCCACAGGGAAGUGAGACUAAAACGUCCUCUGUGUCUGUUCUUUGGGCAAUUACCGUGCUCUACUGCAACCAAGACUAAUAGGUGA